AUCCACACCACAGCAUUCCAGCCUUGAAACCACCUCCCGGCAGCCAGCAUUCCAAGCCCUUCCAGCACCCGAAAUCCGCCGCUCCUCUUGCUGCCUUUUAUCUCCAGAUGCUAACGUGAAGGCAGCCCCUCAAUCCAGGAAAGCAGAAAAUCUUCAAGAAAACCCUCCAGUCAUCGUAACGCGUGUCCUCCAAGCCCUCGGAACUGUGGCUGUGGCUCUGGGGGCUCUAGGAGCUGCCUACUACAUCACUGAAUCCUUGUGAACAAGCCCCUAGGCCCACAGUCUGGCAGACCUCCACCAGCCCCAGGAGUUGAUAGGUGAUGGCGCUGGGAGAAGAUGUUCAGAAUAUCUCAAAAGCCAAGUCCAGAAGAUCCAGUUUCCAUCAAAGGGACCUCUCUUGUCACCAAAAUUUAAAAAAAGAAAAAAAAAACGA
rnacentral:lncRNA from 1 species